rnacentral:rRNA from 1 species
UCCGUUUGAUCCUGGCGGAGGUUACUGCUAUCGGUGUUCGCCUAAGCCAUGCGAGUCAUAUGUAGCAAUACAUGGCGUACCGCUCAGUAACACGUGGAUAACCUGCCCUUGGGUCCGGCAUAACCCCGGGAAACUGGGGAUAAUUCCGGAUAACGCACAUAUGCUGGAAUGCUUUAUGCGUAAAAUGGAUUCGUCUGCCCAAGGAUGGGUCUGCGGCCUAUCAGGUAGUAGUGGGUGUAAUGUACCUACUAGCCAACAACGGGUACGGGUUGUGAGAGCAAGAGCCCGGAGAUGGAUUCUGAGACAUGAAUCCAGGCCCUACGGGGCGCAGCAGGCGCGAAAACUUUACAAUGCGGGAAACCGUGAUAAGGGGACACCGAGUGCCAGCAUCAUAUGCUGGCUGUCCAGGUGUGUAAAAUACACCUGUUAGCAAGGGCCGGGCAAGACCGGUGCCAGCCGCCGCGGUAACACCGGCGGCCCGAGUGGUGAUCGUGAUUAUUGGGUCUAAAGGGUCCGUAGCCGGUUUGGUCAGUCCUCCGGGAAAUCUGACGGCUCAACCGUUAGGCUUUCGGGGGAUACUGCCAGGCUUGGAACCGGGAGAGGUAAGAGGUACUACAGGGGUAGGAGUGAAAUCUUGUAAUCCCUGUGAGACCACCUGUGGCGAAGGCGUCUUACCAGAACGGGUUCGACGGUGAGGGACGAAAGCUGGGGGCACGAACCGGAUUAGAUACCCGGGUAGUCCCAGCCGUAAACGAUGCUCGCUAGGUGUCAGGCAUGGCGCGACCGUGUCUGGUGCCGCAGGGAAGCCGUGAAGCGAGCCACCUGGGAAGUACGGCCGCAAGGCUGAAACUUAAAGGAAUUGGCGGGGGAGCACAACAGCGGGUGGAGCCUGCGGUUUAAUUGGACUCAACGCCGGACAACUCACCGGGGACGACAGCAAAAUGUAGGCCAGGCUGAAGACCUUGCCUGAAUCGCUGAGAGGAGGUGCAUGGCCGUCGCCAGUUCGUACUGUGAAGCAUCCUGUUAAGUCAGGCAACGAGCGAGACCCA